CCUAAGGGCACCACAAGAACGCGUGGAGCAUGUGGCUUAAUUUGACUCAACGCGGGAAAUCUUACCGGGUCCGGACACACUGAGGAUUGACAGGCAAUAUUAAUACGUUUUGCUUCGGUAACAUCGUAUUAUGUUAAAUAUGCUAGUCCUUUCAUGAUUAUGUGAUAGGUGGUGCAUGGCCGUUCUUAGUUCGUGGAGUGAUCUGUYUGCUUAAUUGCGUUUCACUAAGGGCCUAUAAAUUUACGUGUGUUGCAUCGCACUUUGACCCCUUUCUUUAAUUAGAGAGCGCGUGUCUUAGUUUUCGCUUUGCUCAUACAAUUAGGUCCUGAAAGCAACGAACGUGACCGCAACCUCUUGUUGCCUUUAUACCAAACAUGUUUUGCGUCAAUUUUCGAAUUGCGCGCAUUUCAUGAAAAAAGGCUUUUUAAACUAGAGGGACCGCUGUUACUUUCUUAAACCAGAGGAAGGUUGCGGCAAUAACAGGUCUGUGAUGCCCUUAGAUGUUCCGGGCUGCACACGUGCUACAAUGAUUAUUGCAGUGAGCAUCUCAUUUUUACACACCGCAUGCGCGAGUCCAUUUAUUCACCUUCGGGUGUUUUAAAUGUGUAUCUCUGCGCGCGGUAAAGCCUGCUUCGACUAGUAAGUGGGUAAUCAAUUAGAAGUAAUGAUUUCCUUUUUUUUAGCACACAUAUAUACGGCGUCUAUGCCCGGGUUACCUUGUUGUAGCUUUUGUGCGURUAKWGAAVUUUUUCCGUAUGUGCGAUUGUCAAUYAUGGUGGGGACAGACCAUUGUUAAUUGUUGGUCUCGGUCUUAACUAGGAAUGCCUUGUACGGGUCUUUGGUUCAACAAACCACCCGGAAUACGUCCCUGCCCUUUGAUACACACCGCCCGUCGCUCUUACCGAUGGACUUCUCUGUGAGUUUGAGGGACUGGGAACGCAGGAAUUUAUUUCUGCACACCUAUGGAAACUUAAACGAACAGUGUGGUCUAAAGGAAAGAGAAGUCGUAACAAGGCAUA
rnacentral:rRNA from 1 species